rnacentral:rRNA from 1 species
AAUCAACGCUGGCGGCGUGCCUCAGACAUGCAAGUCGAACGAUUAAAGCUCUCUUCGGAGAGUGUAUAGAGUGGCGCACGGGUGAGUAACACGUAAGUAAUCUACCUUUGAGUGGGGAAUAACAGUCGGAAACGACUGCUAAUACCGCAUAAUGCAGCGGCACCGCAAGGUGACAGUUGUUAAAGGAGCAAUUCGCUUAAAGAGGAGCUUGCGGCAGAUUAGCUUGUUGGUAAGGUAACGGCUUACCAAGGCUACGAUCUGUAUCCGGUCUUAGAGGUCGGUCGGACACACUGACACUGAAUAACGGGUCAGACUCCUACGGGAGGCGGCAGUCGGGAAUUUUGGGCAAUGGGCGAAAGCCUGACCCAGCAACGCCGCGUGAAGGAUGAAGUAUUUCGGUAUGUAAAC